rnacentral:rRNA from 1 species
AGUAAAGCUCCGGCGGUUUUGGAUGAGCCCGCGUCCUAUCAGGUUGUUGGUAAGGUAAUUGCUUACCAAGCCUAUGACGGGUAGCUGGUCUUAGCGGAUGACCAGCCAGACUGGGACUGUGACACGGCCCAGACUCCUACGGGAGGCAGCAACUAGGAAUCAUGCGCAAUGGACGAAAGUCUGACGCUGCGACGUCGCGUGGAGGAUUGACGGUCUUCGGAUUGUAAACUCCUUUUAUAUGGGAACAAGUUCUGAGUGUACCAUAUGAAUAAGUGCCUGCUAACCACGUGCCAGAAGCAUCGGUAAUACGUGGGGCACAAGCGUUAUCCGGGUUUACUGGGCGUAAAGAGAUGCGUAGGCGUCCCGAACAGUCUUGUGUUCACAUCUCCCCGCUCAACGGGGAAACCGCAUGACAAACUUUCGGGAUUGAGUCAGGUCCAGCAACCGCGGAAUUCCUGGUGGAGCGGUUACCUGCGUUGAUCUCAGGAGGAACACCAAUGGCGAAUGCACCCUUUUGGACCUAGACUUGACGCUACUGCUCGAAAGCCUGGGUAGCAAACCGGAUUACAUACCCGUGUAGUCCACGCCGUAAACGAUCCCUGGUAGAUGUUUGG